rnacentral:rRNA from 1 species
UACGUAGGGGGCAAGCGUUGUCCGGAUUUAUUGGGCGUAAAGAGCGUGUAGGCGGCCUGACAGGUCUGCUGUGAAAACUCGAGGCUCAACCUCGAGAUGUCGGCGGAAACCGUCUGGCUAGAGUCCGGAAGAGGAGAGUGGAAUUCCUUGUGUAGCGGUGAAAUGCGCAGAUAUCAGGAGGAACACCGAUGGCGAAGGCAGGUCUCUGGGCCACUACUGACGCUGAGGAGCGAAAGCGUGGGGAGCGAACAGG